GGGGAGGGAAAAUUAUAGUACCGAAGGUCAUGAUCUCACACUGCCAAGAAAAGCCUCUAGCCAGGUGAAGGUGCCCGUACCGCAAACCGACACAGGUAGGCGAGAAGAGAAUUCUAAGGCGCGCGGAAGAACUCUCGUUAAGGAACUCGGCAAAAUGACCCCGUAACUUCGGGAGAAGGGGUGCCCCGGUAGUGUGAAUAGCACGAGGGGGCCGCAGUGAAAAGGCCCAAGCGACUGUUUAGCAAAAACACAGGUCUGUGCGAAGCCGCAAGGCGAAGUAUACGGGCUGACGCCUGCCCGGUGCUGGAAGGUUAAGGGGAGUGGUUAGGGGUAACCCGAAGCUAUGAACCGAAGCCCCAGUAAACGGCGGCCGUAACUAUAACGGUCCUAAGGUAGCGAAAUUCCUUGUCAGGUAAAUUCUGACCCGCACGAAUGGCGUAACGACUUGGGCGCUGUCUCAACGAGAGAUCCGGUGAAAUUUUAAUACCUGUGAAGAUGCAGGUUACCCGCGACAAGACGGAAAGACCCCAUGGAGCUUUACUGCAGCUUGAUAUUGGAUUUGGGUACGAUCUGUACAGGAUAGGUGGGAGCCUUUGAAACCUGAGCGCCAGCUUAGGUGGAGGCGCCGUUGGGAUACCACCCUGAUCGUAUCUAGGUUCUAACCUAGUACCGUCAACCGGUGCGGGGACAGUGUCAGGUGGGCAGUUUGACUGGGGCGGUCGCCUCCUAAAGAGUAACGGAGGCGCCCCAAGGUUCCCUCAGAAUGGUUGGAAAUCAUUCGAAGAGUGCAAAGGCAGAAGGGAGCUUGACUGCGAGACCUACAAGUCGAGCAGGGACGAAAGUCGGGCUUAGUGAUCCGGUGGUACCGCAUGGAAGGGCCAUCGCUCAACGGAUAAAAGCUACCCUGGGGAUAACAGGCUUAUCUCCCCCAAGAGUCCACAUCGACGGGGAGGUUUGGCACCUCGAUGUCGGCUCAUCGCAUCCUGGGGCUGAAGUAGGUCCCAAGGGUUGGGCUGUUCGCCCAUUAAAGCGGUACGCGAGCUGGGUUCAGAACGUCGUGAGACAGUUCGGUCCCUAUCUGUCGUGGGCGUAGGAAAUUUGAGAGGAGCUGUCCUUAGUACGAGAGGACCGGGAUGGACGUACCGCUGGUGCACCAGUUGUUCCGCCAGGAGCAUGGCUGGGUAGCUACGUACGGACGGGAUAAGCGCUGAAAGCAUCUAAGCGUGAAGCCCCCCUCAAGAUGAGAUUUCCCAGUAUGUAAGACCCCUUGAAGACGACGAGGUAGAUAGGUUGGAGGUGGAAGUGCAGCAAUGCAUGGAGCUGACCAAUACUAAUCGGUCGAGGGCUUAUCCUAA
rnacentral:rRNA from 1 species